rnacentral:rRNA from 1 species
GACGUAGGGUCCGAGCGUUGUCCGGAUUUACUGGGCGUAAAGAGCGCGUAGGCGGUCCGUUAAGUGUGAAGUGAAAUCUCCAGAGCUCAACUCGGAAACUGCUUCGCAUACUGGCGGACUUGAGGAAUGCAGAGGUGAAUAGAAUUCCUGGUGUAGCGGUGAAAUGCGUAGAUAUCAGGAGGAAUACCCAUGGCGAAGGCAGUUCACUGGGCAUUAUCUGACGCUGAGGCGCGAAAGCGUGGGGAGCAAACAGG